AUGCUCAUGUUGGAAGACUUCAGUGGAGCCCUUGAGUCGGAUGAAGGCAGCUGGAAUAUAAAGCAAGCCCAAAAAUCUGCUGGUGUUUCCCUGGAGAGUGAAGGAAACCAGGAAUCCAAUACUUUUAUAUGCUACACUUGUGAUGAAGAACUCGAAUCAAAUGAGGAGACUGGAUCACUGUGAAGAUAAGUAAGAACAGUAUCCGUGUUCUGACACUCAAUGGAUAACAUCUUGGCAAUGGAAGCAAUGGCACAACUCCUGAUCACUUCAGUGGAGCCAGGAUUUCACAGCCAAUUCAACAAGUGGGGAAAAAAUUGAGACACUGAAAUAGAGGACAGGAUAAUAAAAGUCUAAUAGGAAAACA
rnacentral:lncRNA from 1 species